UGCCCUGUCUUGUGUUCCUGGGAUACUGGAUGUGCUGUAAAGUUUAAUGAUUUGCUUUUCUAUUAACAACAUAAUCAAUACUAAGUGGUUAAGUCCGAUUUGGGUUGGAAUUGUGGCUUAUUUUCUAACUUGCUCUCUGGCCUUGAAUAAGUUACCUAACCUAUCUGAAAAUCAAUUUCCCAUUUCCUGUGAGACUUAUCCUGGGAAAAGAAAACCCUGUAAAGUCCCCUGCUUGGCACAUGUCCAAAGGUAGAAGAACUUGAUGUUUAAAAUGGCCAUGGCCAUGGACUGAACAUGACAUGAAAAAACAAACAUUUGGAUGAACACCAAGAAAGCCAGAGUUGGCUGAAAUGCUGGCAGUUUGACAAGAAUAAUUUGGAUUGCUUAAUGGUGCACAAAGCCAAUUGGACGCCUGGAGCUCCACCUGGAGCCUGGCUGUGGAUCUCUGCAUCCGGUUCCC